UGGCUCAGGAUGAACGCUAGCGACAGGCCUAACACAUGCAAGUCGAGGGGCAUCGGGGCGAGGAGCAAUCCUUGCCGCCGGCGACCGGCGCACGGGUGAGUAACGCGUAUGCGACCUGCCCGUUGCAGGGGGAUAAUCGGGAGAAAUCCCGUCUAAUACCGCGUAAUGCCGCGGGGCUGCAUGGCCCUGCGGCCAAAGGGAGCGAUUCCGGCAACGGAUGGGCAUGCGUGACAUUAGCUAGUUGGCGGGGCAACGGCCCACCAAGGCGACGAUGUCUAGGGGUUCUGAGAGGAAGGUCCCCCACACUGGUACUGAGACACAGACCAGACUCCUACGGGAGGCAGCAGUGAGGAAUAUUGGUCAAUGGGCGCGAGCCUGAACCAGCCAAGUCGCGUGAGGGAUGACGGCCCUACGGGUUGUAAACCUCUUUUGUCGGGGAGCAAAUUCCGCCACGUGUGGCGGAGUCGAGAGUACCCGAAGAAAAAGCAUCGGCUAACUCCGUGCCAGCAGCCGCGGUAAUACGGAGGAUGCGAGCGUUAUCCGGAUUUAUUGGGUUUAAAGGGUGCGUAGGCGGACUGUCAAGUCAGCGGUAAAAUACGGGGGCUCAACCUCCGUCCGCCGUUGAAACUGACGGUCUUGAGUGGGCGAGAAGUAUGCGGAAUGCGUGGUGUAGCGGUGAAAUGCAUAGAUAUCACGCAGAACUCCGAUUGCGAAGGCAGCAUACCGGCGCCCGACUGACGCUGAAGCACGAAAGCGUGGGUAUCGAACAGGAUUAGAUACCCUGGUAGUCCACGCAGUAAACGAUGAAUACUAGCUGUCCGGGGCGAAUGAGCCCUGGGUGGCACAGCGAAAGCGUUAAGUAUUCCACCUGGGGAGUACGCCGGCAACGGUGAAACUCAAAGGAAUUGACGGGGGCCCGCACAAGCGGAGGAACAUGUGGUUUAAUUCGAUGAUACGCGAGGAACCUUACCCGGGCUCAAACGACACAGGAACGUACCUGAAAGGGUUCGGCUCUACGGAGCCUGUGUCGAGGUGCUGCAUGGUUGUCGUCAGCUCGUGCCGUGAGAUGUCGGCUUAAGUGCCAUAACGAGCGCAACCCCCAUCGACAGUUGCUAACAGGUCAGGCUGAGGACUCUGUCGAGACUGCCGGCGCAAGCUGCGAGGAAGGCGGGGAUGACGUCAAAUCAGCACGGCCCUUACGUCCGGGGCGACACACGUGUUACAAUGGCAGGUACAGCGGGAAGCCACCUGGCGACAGGGAGCGGAACCCGAAAGCCUGUCUCAGUUCGGAUUGGAGUCUGCAACCCGACUCCAUGAAGCUGGAUUCGCUAGUAAUCGCGCAUCAGCCACGGCGCGGUGAAUACGUUCCCGGGCCUUGUACACACCGCCCGUCAAGCCAUGGAAGCCGGGGGUGCCUGAAGUGCGCUGCCGCGAGGAGCGCCCUAGGGUAAAACCUGGUGACUGGGGCUAAGUCGUAACAAGGU
rnacentral:rRNA from 1 species